CAGACUUGGAGUGAAGACAUUUGGCUGUGGAGUUUCUGGACCCAUGGAGGAGCUCAUGCAGGAGACCUCAGACUGCUUUCCUUUUAGACCAUCACUGUGGAUUUCCAACUUGCCGAGGUCUCUGGGUCCUGCCUCAUCCAUUGCUUCAAGGGUCCUCGAUGAGGUGUGACAGCCAAGUUCCAAAGUACUUCAACAAGAGGAGAAAAGAGAAGAUUAGAGGAUGAGUCUGGAUUUUAAAUUAUUUUCCCAAGUUGCAAGCUUAUGAGAAAGAGAAGGCUUAUCUACAUUCUCUUCAUGUUAGGGCAGGAAUGGCAUUAUUACUGGAAAACGUCUGAGCAUCACUGCCCUACUUUGCUUUUUCCUGGAGCGUUGAGCUAAACUGUCCU
rnacentral:lncRNA from 1 species